rnacentral:rRNA from 1 species
GUUUCCGUAGGUGAACCUGCGGAAGGAUCAUUACAGUAUUCUUUUGCCAGCGCUUAAUUGCGCGGGGAAAAACCUUACACACUAUGUUUUUUUAAUUUGAAACUAUUGCUUUGGUCUGGGUUAGAAAUAGGUUGGGGCAAAGGUUUUAUCAAAACUUCAAUAUUUAUUAUUGAAUUGUUAUUUUAAUUUUAUUGUCAAUUUGUUGAUUAAUAUCAAAAAUCUUCAAAACUUUCAACAACGGAUCUCUUGGUUCUCGCAUCGAUGAAGAACGCAGCGAAAUGCGAUAAGUAAUAUGAAUUGCAGAUUUUCGUGAAUCAUCGAAUCUUUGAACGCACAUUGCGCCCUUUGGUAUUCCAAAGGGGAUGCCUGUUUGAGCGUCAUUUCUCUCUCAAAUCUUCGGAUUUGGUUUUGAGUGAUACUCUUAGUCAGACUAAGCGUUUGCUUGAAAUGUAUUGGGAUGAGUGGUACUAGAUAGUGCUGAACUGUUUUCAAUGUAUUAGGUUUAUCCAACUCGUUGACCAGUAAAGUAUUUGUUUAUUACACAGGGUCGGGCUUACAACAACAAACAAAGUUUGACCUCAAAUCAGGUAGGACUACCCGCUGAACUUAAGCAUAUCAAUAA